UGAGGGUCCUGGUCAGUUUACGGCUU
rnacentral:piRNA from 1 species